rnacentral:lncRNA from 1 species
CUCCAGAGGAGGGUAAAUGCAAAGAGUAUCCUGGAGGUUUAGUUUUCACUUAUUACCUUUUGGGUUAUGGGGUGGAUUUCAGAAGCUUUUUCUCGUUGAUGAUGCUUUCCCUGCAGCUUGAGCUAGGUGACUUCAGGAAAAGACAAAUGCAGGCAAUAUCAACAGUGGCUGCUACGAGCAUAGGAGGAACAACCAGACAUGAUGUGCUCCUCAUGGAAUGA